GACAGAGGUGCCAAGCGUUAGGCGGAAUCACUGGGCUUAAAGCGUGUGUAGGCGGACUGGUAAGUACCUUGUGAAAUCCCACGGCUCAACCGUGGAACUGCUUGGUAUACUGCUUUUCUUGAGCCACUUAGGGGCAACCGGAACAAACGGUGGAGCGGUGAAAUGCGUAGAUAUCGGGAGGAACACCUGUGGCGAAGGCGGCCCCCUGGUUGGAUACUGACGCUGAUACGCGAAAGCGUGGGGAGCAAACAGG
rnacentral:rRNA from 1 species